rnacentral:rRNA from 1 species
UACAGGGGGUGCAAGCGUUGCUCGGAAUCACUGGGCGUAAAGCGAGCGCAGGCGGCCGAUUAAGUCAGAGGUGAAAGCCCGGGGCUCAACCCCGGAAUGGCCUUUGAAACUGGUAGGCUUGAAUGCAGGAGAGGGUACGCGGAAUUCUUGGUGUAGAGGUAGAAAAUUCGUAGAUAUCAAGGAGGAACACCGAUGGCGAAGGCAAUCCCCUGGGCCUGCACUGACGCUCAUGCACGAAAGCGGUGGGAGCAAACAGG